rnacentral:rRNA from 1 species
AUUGAACGCUGGCGGCAUGCCUUACACAUGCAAGUCGAACGGCAGCACGGGAGCAAUCCUGGUGGCGAGUGGCGAACGGGUGAGUAAUAUAUCGGAACGUGCCCAGUCGUGGGGGAUAACGCAGCGAAAGCUGUGCUAAUACCGCAUACGAUCUAUGGAUGAAAGCGGGGGAUCGCAAGACCUCGCGCGACUGGAGCGGCCGAUAUCAGAUUAGCUAGUUGGUGAGGUAAAGGCUCACCAAGGCGACGAUCUGUAGCUGGUCUGAGAGGACGACCAGCCACACUGGAACUGAGACACGGUCCAGACUCCUACGGGAGGCAGCAGUGGGGAAUUUUGGACAAUGGGCGAAAGCCUGAUCCAGCAAUGCCGCGUGCAGGAUGAAGGCCUUCGGGUUGUAAACUGCUUUUGUACGGAACGAAACGGUGAGCUCUAAUACAGUUUGCUAAUGACGGUACCGUAAGAAUAAGCACCGGCUAACUACGUGCCAGCCGCCGCUGUAACAC